rnacentral:rRNA from 1 species
CAAUAGCGUAUAUUUAAGUUGUUGCAGUUAAAAAGCUCGUAGUUGGAUUUCUGAAGGUGGUUGGAUUGGUGUGACCUCGCGUUGCCUCAACCAUACUAUUUUCAACAUAUGCGAUGAAUUGGUGUGGUUAAUUAAGUUUGAUCCGCCAUUAAAUCGCUCGUUUACUUUGAGAAAAUUAGAGUGUUCAAAGCAGGCAUAACGCCUUGAAUAUGUUAGCAUGGAAUAAUAGCAUAGGACUUUGGUUCUAUUUGUUGGUUGUUCGAGAACCGGAGUAAUGAUUGAUAGGGACGGUUGGGGGCAUCCGUAUUCUCAAGCGAGAGGUGAAAUUCUUGGACCUUGGGAAGACGAACAGCUGCGAAAGCGUUUGCCUAGGACGUUCUCUUUAA